UUGGAGGGCAAGUCUGGUGCCAGCAGCCGCGGUAAUUCCAGCUCCAAUAGCGUAUAUUAAAGUUGUUGCAGUUAAAAAGCUCGUAGUUGAACUUCGGGGUUUACCCAUUGGUCAGGCUUAAUUGUCUGUACUGGUGAGAUGAAUCUCUACCUUCUGAGGAACUUUCACGCCAUUUAUUUGGUGUGAUGGGAAAUCAGGACUGUUACUUUGAAAAAAUUAGAGUGUUUAAAGCAGGCUAACGUCUGAAUACAUUAGCAUGGAAUAAUGAAAUAGGACGGACUGAUUCUAUUUCGUUGGUUUCUAGGAUCACCGUAAUGAUUAAUAGGGAUAGUUGGGGGCAUUAGUAUUCAAUUGUCAGAGGUGAAAUUCUUGGAUUUAUUGAAGGCUAACUACUGCGAAAGCAUUUGCCAAGGAUGUUUUCAUUAAUCAAGAACGGAAGUUAGGGGAUCGAAGACGAUCAGAUACCGUCGUAGUCUUAACCAUAAACUAUGCCGACUAGGGAUCGGACGAAGUUAAUUUUAUAAUGACGCGUUCGGCGCCUUACGGGAAAC
rnacentral:rRNA from 1 species